AACGAACGCUGGCGGCAGGCCUAACACAUGCAAGUCGAGCGGACCUAUCGGGGUCAGCGGCGGCCGGGUGUGUAACGCGUGGGGAUAUUCCCUUCUCUACGGCAUAGUUCUGGGAAACUGGGGGUAAUACCGUAUACGCCCUUUUGGGGGAAGAUUUAUCGGGGCAGGAUUAGCCCGCGUUGGAUUAGGUGGUUGGUGGGGUUAUGGGCUCUCACGCGGACAAUUCGUAGCUGGGUGGAGAGGAUGAUUACCCACACUGGGACUGGGACACGGCCCAGACUCCUACGGGAUGCAGGAGUGGGGAAUCGAAGACAGCGGCGGGAGUCAUGAUGGAGUCAGGACGCGAGAGUGAUGUAAGCCUGAGAGAAGUAAAGCGUAAUCAGCUGGGAAGAUAAUGACGGUACCAGCAGAAGAAGCCCCGGCUAACUCCGUG
rnacentral:rRNA from 1 species